AGUCAGCAUCCAGAGCGAUUCGAAAGAAUCCGGCAACCGAGCAACAGGGGGCUACGGUGCCAAAAUGAUGCGCGAGGCAACCCGCUUCGAAAAGGGUCCCUGGUA
rnacentral:ncRNA from 2 species